rnacentral:rRNA from 1 species
GACGAACGCUGGCGGCGUGCUUAAUACAUGCAAGUCGAACGGACAGGCCCUGCUCUUGUGGGGUUCUCGAUAGGCGAACGGGGGUGUAACACGUGUGUAACCUGUCCCUGUAUUUGGGAUAAAAUUAGGAAACAGGGGCUAAUACCGGAUAGGAGCUACUGAUGCAUGGUGGGGGAUGGAAAGUUUCGGCGGUUGGGGAUGGACUCGCGGCUUAUCAGCUUGUUGGUGGGGUAGUGGCUUACCAAGGUUUUGACGGGUAGCCGGCCUGAGAGGGUGACCGGCCACAUUGGGACUGAGAUACGGCCCAGACUCCUACGGGAGGCAGCAGUGGGGAAUAUUGCACAAUGGGCGGAAGCCUGAUGCAGCAACGCCGCGUGCGGGAUGACGGCCUUCGGGUUGUAAACCGCUUUCGCCUGUGACGAAGCGUGAGUGACGGUAAUGGGUAAAGAAGCACCGGCUAACUACGUG